AUUGAACGCUGGCGGCAUGCCUUACACAUGCAAGUCGAACGGUAACAGGGAGCUUGCUCCGCUGACGAGUGGCGAACGGGUGAGUAAUGUAUCGGAACGUACCUUUCAGUGGGGGAUAACGUAGCGAAAGUUACGCUAAUACCGCAUAUUCUGUGAGCAGGAAAGCAGGGGAUCGCAAGACCUUGCGCUGAUUGAGCGGCCGAUAUCAGAUUAGCUAGUUGGUGAGGUAAGGCUCACCAAGGCGACGAUCUGUAGCGGGUCUGAGAGGAUGAUCCGCCACACUGGAACUGAGACACGGUCCAGACUCCUACGGGAGGCAGCAGUGGGGAAUUUUGGACAAUGGGGGCAACCCUGAUCCAGCCAUGCCGCGUGAGUGAAGAAGGCCUUCGGGUUGUAAAGCUCUUUCGGCCGGGAAGAAAUCGCAUGGGUUAAUACCCUGUGCGGAUGACGGUACCGGCAUAAGAAGCACCGGCUAACUACGUGCCAGCCGCCGCCGUAAUAC
rnacentral:rRNA from 1 species